rnacentral:tRNA from 1 species
GCCGGUGUAGCUCAGAUGGCAGAGCAACUGACUUGUAAUCAGUGGGUCGAGGGUUCGAUUCCUUUCGCCGGCACCA